ensembl:lncRNA
UCACUGUAAACUUUCUUGUCUUGCGUAAUCUCUUCUGAAAAUCCAGGAAUUCCCAGUCUGAUAUUCAGAUCCAGACCAGAGGACAUCUAGGAAAUGCUGUGCUAAGGAAGGACAGCUCCACACACAUUGAAAGGAAACUUAACCAGCAUUGUUUAACAUGGAGCGUUCAGUUUAACCAAGCUACUGAACUACACCAGAGAUAAUGCUGGUCUACUGUAUGUCCAGGAGAGGGCCUAAGGUACAAAAAAUGUCUUGACAGUGGAGACCACAGCCGAGACACAGGGGAGACCUGCCAAAGCGGGAAAAAAAGCUCCCUAAACAUUUAAGAGAUGCAUGCAGAUGUCAGAAUGCCAGAUGUUUGGAGACGAGAGUGAGAGCAUUCAUGGCUGGUGCUGUCCCUCCAACCUACGCAACUGAGACAACCGUUGACUACCAUAGUUGAUUCUGUCAUUUGGUGUGAUGUCUGGCACCGCAAGAGUACCACAUAUGUAGUCCAUUUACCAUCUAUUACUGUUGUUGUGAAGCAGUUACAAAAUGAAAGUUGCUUCGUUCCCCAACAAUUUGCAUUUGUUUAUUGAUGUCAGCUUUAACUUGAAUGCAUGAUUCAGUUUGAUAAAAUAGAUGGGCCUAUACAGAUAUCAUCUGACUCUUUAGCAUGUGAUUGGUCAGGUAAGUUGAUGGCAUAAAAUAUGAGCACUGAGCAGGACUAUUUGCCACCACCCAAGUCUUGAGCUGCUCUGCUGUUACUAUAGUGACCAAGUGGGAGAGAUCCAGGUGGCAUUUCUAGAACACUUCCCAUGGCAGCCUGCCGUGUCACAAUUCCCAGAUCACUACACCAUCUUUAUCAGGUACUUCACAUAUAAAGUUGUAUUUACAUAACAGUGAAAAGACAGUUUAUAUGAGGACAGCACUGUGUUUAUCCUAGAGUUUCACAGACACCUGUGAAGCACAAGAACUCAGAUGAGAUUAUUACAUUCUUGUGGUGACAUUUACAUAACCAUUCUAUAAUACCUGGUAAAGAAAAUAUCUCGGACUAUCCUGUGUUUGGUUAUGCAGUGAAGAUGAGAGUCUUGGCUAUAUCUUUCCUUCAUCUGAUGAGUUCUAUUUGUGGUAUGUGAGUGAAUAGAAUGUUCUGGAAAUAACUUCAAAAGAACACUGAAACUCUUCCACUCUGUGUUCAUGAUAAUAACAUGCUGUAUAGUGUUUGUGAACUGUAUCAACAACCUAAUUGAUUCAGUGAAUAUACAAUAUACUGACAAAUAAGAACACAAUAUUAAAGUUUACACAAAAAAAAAUGUAAACUGAGUUUGUGGUCCGGUGUCGCCCAGACACUCCCAAUGACGAUGUGUGUGGAGACGUCUCAUUUAUCACUUGGUUAUUGGAAUGAAUUAUUUCAGAUCAAAUGUGAGAAAGCCACAAAUCAAGGUUCCACUCACUCUAAUUCCUCCUCUUCCCCAAUAUCUCUAUUGGGGAAAAUCAUCUACAACAUUGCGAUCAGUGAAAUCUUGUUUUUAUAUCGUUUGUGUAUGUUUGUUGAUGUUGGGAUUGCAUCUGUUUUGUGUCCCAUACUCCACCUCUCUCUCCUUGUAACGGUGUCAUGUUUCUGAGGAUUCAGCAGCAGCAAAGAGUGUGGACAUCUCCAGUGAAUCGAGGGAGGACUCCUCCACACCCACUGCUGCAAAUAUGACCUAUGUAACCACUAAAGAGAGUGCAUUUAAAAUGUCUCCUCUCCUCAUCCAUUUGUUAUAUCACAUGCAGCCUAAAAAUAAAAUGAAUAAAUAUCUGCAUGUUUACACAGUUUGUGGAUCUUUUUCUGGGGUUAUAGUCUUAGGUUGCAGAUGUUUUUUAGGUUGCAGUUUCACACUUCAACUCAGGAAAUAUUACCACAUAAUUACAACAUGAUUUCAGGGCCGAUUUGUCAACAGUGAAAAGAAACUGGUACAUAAUUCAUCCACUAGAUGUCAACAGAGCUCCGGCUUCCAGCAUAGUCCAAUAAAAAGAGCGUAUGGUUUAGCUGGGCACAGCAUAAAGAUCACUCCAUAGUGACAGACAUGCAUUAUUAAUACGCUGAAUGAAACUACAUUUAUCAGUUUCCUACAAAACAUUGUGAUCAUGCAUUUGAGAUGAAUAAAAACAAAAUGUAUUAAUAAUUCAAACUCGAUACAGAUAAUGAUUAUUUGGAUGUGUCCCAAAAGGCACCAUUUCCCUAUAUAGAGCAUUCAUUUUGACCAGGGCUCAUAGGGCUCAUGCACUACUCUGACCAGGGCCCAUAAGGUGAAACGUAGUGCACUGUGUAGGGAAUAUGGUGCCAUUUGGGACUCAGCCCUAGUGUCAAGAGACUCUGUGUAGUGGUGUAUUGACUAAAACACCCAUGCUGAGAGACAAGCUUUGUCUGUGUCAAUAGUAUUGAUUUAUUUCAUUACACUCCAAUAACCGAUCGUUACACCUCCUAGGGAAUUGUAUGAUCGCGCUCCAAAUGUGAUUGUUGUUUUCUAAAUACUAACACAGUCGGGGGAAUAUUUGUAUUUGUAAUAAAAGGUUGCCAACGAAAAUCCCCCACUCGCACACACACGCACACACACACACACACACACACACACACACACACACACACACACACACACACACACACACACACACACA